rnacentral:rRNA from 1 species
GACGUAGGGCGCAAGCGUUGUCCGGAUUUAUUGGGCGUAAAGCGCUCGUAGGCGGCCUGUCGCGUCGACUGUGAAAACCCGCAGCUUAACUGCUGGACUGCAGUCGAUACGGGCAGGCUAGAGUUCGGUAGGGGAGACUGGAAUUCCUGGUGUAGCGGUGAAAUGCGCAGAUAUCAGGAGGAACACCGGUGGCGAAGGCGGGUCUCUGGGCCGGUACUGACACUGAGGAGCGAAAGCGUGGGGAGCGAACAGG